ACUCAAAGGAAUAGACGGGGACCCGCACAAGCAGCGGAGCAUGUGGUUUAAUUCGAAGCAACGCGAAGAACCUUACCAGGUCUUGACAUCCCGAUGACGUGGGUAGAGAUACUCAUUCCCUUCGGGGCAUUGGAGACAGGUGGUGCAUGGUUGUCGUCAGCUCGUGUCGUGAGAUGUUGGGUUAAGUCCCGCAACGAGCGCAACCCCUAUUUUUAGUUGCCAGCAUGAAAGGUGGGCACUCUAGAGAGACUGCCGGGGAUAACUCGGAGGAAGGUGGGGACGACGUCAAAUCAUCAUGCCCCUUAUGUCCUGGGCUACACACGUGCUACAAUGGCCGGAAACAGAGGGCAGCGAAGCCGCGAGGUGGAGCGAAUCUCAGAAAGCCGGUCCCAGUUCGGAUUGCGGGCUGCAACUCGCCCGCAUGAAGUCGGAGUUGCUAGUAAUCGCGAAUCAGCACGUCGCGGUGAAUGCGUUCCCGGGUCUUGUACACACCGCCCGU
rnacentral:rRNA from 1 species